CCCACUGUUCUCUGCCCAUCUUCACCGUUUCCUUUUAAUAUAGUUUUUCCCCCUUUUUUUUUUGGAUUGUUUGGGUUUCACCAUUGUUAAUUUGAGAAUUUGUUCCAUCAAUUACCCUUUCCUUUUACUGGUUUGCCGGAUUUCCCCGAAGUUAUUGUAUUAGUAUUCUAUAGUAUACCAUUUUCCCUUUUCUUUUAGAGGUUGUUCGGGUUUCACCCUGAUUUUGUUAAUUUGGCAAUUCGAUCAACACAUGCAUGUGUGUUCACCCACCAAUUAUGGGUAUCUUUCAAUUUGGUGUCUUAUUAUUCCUAGAAAGAGCAGAGAAAAGAACUUUUGGAGGAAAAAUCAAUUUUUUGCGUGUGCUGAAUAAUAGUUUGUGAUAUUUCUUAGUGUUUCUGUUUAAUUGCAGUUAUGUGUUUCCAUUUAAUUUUAAUUGCUGCUCCACUCCUCUUAUUUUUCCAUCUUUUAGGUUGCCAAGAGGCUUAGAUGAGGAGUAGGCAUAUAAUUGUUCAGUUUGUUAAAAUCAGUAGCGAACUAUUUCGUAGGUUGAUUCUAGAAGAAAUUUUUAUUUUCGCCUUUUGACCUCUGCUUGAUUGAUGUGAAAAAGAUACGGUAUUUUGCUGUUAGAAAAGAAAUAGGAAAUGAAAAUACACUAGAAACGACUGGGUGUGUUGUAUCUGUCAAUUUCUAUUUAGCCAAGAAUUCUAUACCUCCUAUGGUUAGAAAUCAACAAUUCAUGUCCAGUUUGUAGGUUUUGGUUGCAGACAGAGGAGAAAUAAUGGGUAUGCCAUAGACGUCUGAAUUUUAUUGAGUUGCAGGAGUUGUUAAGUGAGCAAGAGGAUAUGUUUACGCGUGUGACAGUUCUCAUAUCAGGUUAGCCCUUUUCUUUUUCCCUUUAUUGUUUAUAAUGUCACAUAUAAGAUUUGAAAAAUUGAAUACAUUCAUAGUAUAUGUACUCAUAACCAAAAAACGAAAAAAAAAAAAUAAGAACCUGUAACAUAGGUUCUCAACAAAACUGUCCGUCAUGCCUUGGACGUAAGAAAGAAGAUUGAGAAAACAAUUGUGUUGUUCUUUGUUGCUUCUUAGUUAGACACUACAGUUGUUUUCUUAUGGAUCACUAACUUGGGUGAGGACAAUUUGCUUUAAGGAAGGAGUAUAUACAUUGUGGUGCAUGCAAUUUGUCAAAUGGAUCAUAUAAGCUGUUUAGGUAUAAGAUGACACGUGAACCUCUUUUAGGUAUAAAUCAUUUCAGUCACCACAGCAAUUGCACUGUUGCAGUUUAAUAUGGUCAUAGUUGCCUUGUGUUAUUACUGAAAGGUCAAGAAUGUAUUUUUUGUGAACCACAUAUUGAACACAAUUCUUUUGGCCUCUAAGUUGCCCCCUGUAAAGGCACUGCCCAGUUUUCUUCACUAUUUUCCUCUCCUUCAAAAUCUGUCAGGUUCAUUCCUCUUCAUUUUCAUUAACUUCACCCUCCUCCAUCUCUGUGUUCUCUGUCUCUACCAUGCUCUUUAUCUGGACUGCACAAGUAAAAAGAUUCCCUACAUUCAAUUACUUUCUUAGAUAUAGCAUAAUCAAAAUGCAAUGGCAUGCCAGGGAUUUUUUAACUUGUGCUGCUGGUUGCCAGCAAAGAAACUUUUUGGUGCUUUUCAGAAAUCUCCCUGAUACCAACAUUGUCACCAAAGAUUACAGCAGAAGUGUCUGCACCGCAACUAACCUUCAAGUCAAUGUAUCGCAUUUUGUUAAUAUGUAAAUAGAAUGUACAUAGCUAUUGUGUAAAUCUCUGUUCAAUUUGUAAAAUUUGACUCCUUAUCAAAAUGUAUGUAAAAAUUUCAUGUUCUUGGUCUGAGUUACCUGAAGCUAUUUUGAAAGAUUUUGCUCUUGA